rnacentral:rRNA from 1 species
GGUUAAGUGACUAAGCGUACAUGGUGGAUGCCUUGGCAGUCAGAGGCGAUGAAGGACGUACUAACCUGCGAUAAGCCGUGAGCAGUCGGUAAGAGACAUUACGACUCACGGAUUUCCGAAUGGGGAAACCCACUUAGCAUAAGCUAGGUAUCGCUGCGUGAAUACAUAGCGUAGCGAGGCGAACCGGGAGAACUGAAACAUCUAAGUACCCCGAGGAAAAGAAAUCAACCGAGAUUCCCUCAGUAGCGGCGAGCGAACGGGGAUUAGCCCUUAAGCAUCUUGGAAGUUAGUGGAACGGUCCUGGAAAGGCCGGCGAUACAGGGUGAUAGCCCCGUACACGAAAACAACCUUGAUGUGAAAUCGAGUAGGGCGGGACACGUGACAUCCUGUCUGAAUAUGGGGGGACCAUCCUCCAAGGCUAAAUACUCCUGACUGACCGAUAGUGAACCAGUACCGUGAGGGAAAGGCGAAAAGAACCCCUGUGAGGGGAGUGAAAUAGAACCUGAAACCGUGUACGUACAAGCAGUGGGAGCCCUUCGGGGUGACUGCGUACCUUUUGUAUAAUGGGUCAGCGACUUACAUUUUGUAGCGAGGUUAACCGUAUAGGGGAGCCGUAGGGAAACCGAGUCUUAACUGGGCGUCUAGUUGCAAGGUGUAGACCCGAAACCGGGUGAUCUAGCCAUGGGCAGGUUGAAGGUUGAGUAACAUCAACUGGAGGACCGAACCCACUAACGUUGCAAAGUUAGGGGAUGACCUGUGGCUGGGGGUGAAAGGCCAAUCAAACUCGGAGAUAGCUGGUUCUCCCCGAAAGCUAUUUAGGUAGCGCCUCGGACGAAUACUACUGGGGGUAGAGCACUGUUUGGGCUAGGGGGUCAUCCCGACUUACCAACCCCAUGCAAACUCCGAAUACCAGUAAGUAAUAUCCGGGAGACACACGGCGGGUGCUAACGUCCGUCGUGAAGAGGGAAACAACCCAGACCGCCGGCUAAGGUCCCAAAGUUCUGGUUAAGUGGGAAACGAUGUGGGAAGGCUCAGACAGCUAGGAUGUUGGCUUAGAAGCAGCCAUCAUUUAAAGAAAGCGUAAUAGCUCACUAGUCGAGUCGGCCUGCGCGGAAGAUGUAACGGGGCUCAAACCAGGCACCGAAGCCGCGGAUUCACACUUAUGUGUGAGUGGUAGGGGAGCGUUCUGUAAGUCUGCGAAGGUGUGUCGAGAGGCAUGCUGGAGAUAUCAGAAGUGCGAAUGCUGACGUAAGUAACGAUAAAGGGGGUGAAAAGCCUCCUCGCCGGAAGACCAAGGGUUCCUGUCCAACGUUAAUCGGGGCAGGGUGAGUCGACCCCUAAGGCGAGGCCGAAAGGCGUAGUCGAUGGGAAGCAGGUUAAUAUUCCUGCACGACUUGUAAUUGCGAUGGGGGGACGGAGAAGGCUAGGUGGGCCAGGCGACGGUUGUCCUGGUGAAAGUGCGUAGGUGGUGUUUCUAGGCAAAUCCGGAGACACAACACUGAGACACGAGACGAACACACUACGGUGUGGAAGCCAUUGAUGCCCUGCUUCCAGGAAAAGCCUCUAAGCUUCAGAUUACAAGUCAUCGUACCCCAAACCGACACAGGUGGUCGGGUAGAGAAUACCAAGGCGCUUGAGAGAACUCGGGUGAAGGAACUAGGCAAAAUAGAACCGUAACUUCGGGAGAAGGUUCGCUCUUGACAGUGAAGUCCCUUGCGGAUGGAGCAGUUGGGAGUCGCAGUGACCAGAUGGCUGGGACUGUUUAUCAAAAACACAGCACUCUGCAAACACGAAAGUGGACGUAUAGGGUGUGACACCUGCCCGGUGCCGGAAGGUUAAUUGAUGGGGUUAGCGCAAGCGAAGCUCUUGAUCGAAGCCCCGGUAAACGGCGGCCGUAACUAUAACGGUCCUAAGGUAGCGAAAUUCCUUGUCGGGUAAGUUCCGACCUGCACGAAUGGUGUAACCAUGGCCAUGCUGUCUCCACCCGAGACUCAGUGAAAUCGAAUUCGCCGUGAAGAUGCGGUGUACCCGCGGCUAGACGGAAAGACCCCGUGAACCUUUACUACAGCUUGGCACUGAACAUUGAACCUACAUGUGUAGGAUAGGUGGGAGGCUUUGAAGGCGUGACGCCAGUUGCGCUGGAGCCGUCCUUGAAAUACCACCCUUGUAUGUUUGAUGUUCUAACGCAGGCCCGUGAAUCCGGGUCGCGGACAGUGCCUGGUGGGUAGUUUGACUGGGGCGGUCUCCUCCCAAAGAGUAACGGAGGAGCACGAAGGUUGGCUAAUCCUGGUCGGACAUCAGGAGGUUAGUGCAAUG